GUGGGGAAUAUUGGACAAUGGGCACAAGCCUGAUCCAGCAAUGCCGCGUGGGUGAAGAAGGUCUUCGGAUCGUAAAGCCCUUUCGACAGGGACGAUGAUGACGGUACCUGUAGAAGAAGCCCCGGCUAACUUCGUGCCAGCAGCCGCGGUAAUACGAAGGGGGCUAGCGUUACUCGGAAUUACUGGGCGUAAAGGGCGCGUAGGCGGCUCUGUUAGUCAGGCGUGAAAUUCCUGGGCUUAACCUGGGGACUGCGCUUGAUACUGCAGGGCUUGAGGCCGAGAGAGGGUGGUGGAAUUCCCAGUGUAGAGGUGAAAUUCGUAGAUAUUGGGAAGAACACCGGUGGCGAAGGCGACCACCUGGCUCGGUUCUGACGCUGAGGCGCGACAGCGUGGGGAGCAAACAGGAUUAGAUACCCCUGUAGUCC
rnacentral:rRNA from 1 species